rnacentral:misc_RNA from 1 species
UAAAUUAAGACCUGAAGUUCACAAAUCAGAAAGUCAAGGUAAAACCAUGGCGCUUUCUCCAUCAGAAUAUCAUGCAGUGCUUGGUCAUCUUGCAAUAAAUAGUUUGACGCUGAAUUCCGGCUUCCCACCAUCAACUUCAUGGCUUGUUGAAGGUAACUUCACUAAAUUGUCAUCUUCCAAUUCAAAUGGCUCCAGGAAACUCAAUGUCAAGCUUGAUUGGAAAUUGAAAGGCGGGAAGACUCACCCUUUCCCUAAGUAUAAUAUCUACGUCAAGAAACAACCCAAUCUCUUAAUUGCAGAAUCAAAUGGAUCACUUCAGCUAGUCCAUGAGUACCUGGGAGUUACG